rfam:Triticum aestivum genome assembly, contig: Triticum_aestivum_CS42_TGACv1_scaffold_577156_7BL
UAAAUACUCCCUUCGUCUAGAAAUACUUGUCGAAGAAAUGGAUGUAUCUAGAUGUAUUUUAGUUUUAGACAUCCAUUUUUAUCCAUUUCUGCGACAAGUAGUUCGGACGGAGGGAGUAUAAG